GCCGGGGCAGUGGCACGUGCCUGUAGUCCAAGCUACUCGGGAGGCUGAGGCUGGAGGAUCGCUUGAACCCAGGAGUUCUGGGCUGCAGUGUGCUAUGCCGAUUGCGUGUUCGCACUAAGUUCAGCAUCAAUAUGGUGACCUCCCAGGAGCAGGAGACCACCAGGCUGCCUAAGGAGGGAUGAACCCGCCCAGGUCAGAAACAGAGCAGGUCAAAACUCCUGCGCUGAUCAAUGCUGAUCAAUAGUGGGAUCACUGCAUUCCCUCCUGGGCAACAUAGCGAGUCCCCGUCUCAA
ensembl:misc_RNA Metazoa_SRP Metazoan signal recognition particle RNA